CCUACGGGAGGCAGCAGUGAGGAAUAUUGGUCAAUGGCCGCAGGGCUGAACCAGCCAAGUCGCGUGAGGGAUGACGGUCCUAUGGAUUGUAAACCUCUUUUGUCAGGGAGCAAAGGGCGCCACGUGUGGCGCUUUGCGAGUACCUGAAGAAAAAGCAUCGGCUAACUCCGUGCCAGCAGCCGCGGUAAUACGGAGGAUGCGAGCGUUAUCCGGAUUUAUUGGGUUUAAAGGGUGCGCAGGCGGAAUGUCAAGUCAGCGGUAAAAUUGCGGGGCUCAACCCCAUCCAGCCGUUGAAACUGGGGAUCUAGAGUGUGCGAGAGGUAUGCGGAAUGCGUGGUGUAGCGGUGAAAUGCAUAGAUAUCACGCAGAACCCCGAUUGCGAAGGCAGCAUACCGGUGCACAACUGACGCUCAGGCACGAAAGCGUGGGUAUCGAACAGGAUUAGAUACCCUUGUAGUC
rnacentral:rRNA from 1 species